rnacentral:misc_RNA from 1 species
UUAAGUUCAGCGGGUAUCCCUACCUGAUUCGAGGUCAACCAUAAAAAGAUUGGGGGUUGCUGGCCAGCAUCCACCGGGACUCACACGCGAGGGUAUAAUUACUACGCGUAGAGCUCGAUGGCGCCGCCACUGAUUUAAGGCCAGCCGUUGCCGGCAGAGCCCAAGACCAAGCAGAGCUCGAGGGUUGAAAUGACGCUCGA